AAAAUAAUAAGAUCAGUUCUAGGUCAAGAAAAAAGCAAGGCAGUAAACAAAAUCCUGUAAACAAAAGGAAUGCCACAUGUGCCUUGGCUGAGUCGGCUCUGAGAUUUGCAUUAAUUCAAAUGUAAAUGUUCUUAGUCCGAGCCUUUUUCUUGAGUCCUAGCUCAAAGUCAGAUUCCCUCCUUAAGCUCUCUUCCUUGUCCUGGCCAGAGGUCAAUUUCCCUCCAAGUUUCUAGAAGUGGCCUCCAAAAGCUCUCCACAAUUUCUGCUGUCAUCAGUGUCUAAUAUGGAAGAAAAGGCUGUCCCUCCAAAUGGGUAUUGCAAAACUGAAGAGACUGAUAUAAUCUGUCAAGCUGCUGAGAAUAAGUGACUGGCCCCUAUGCUAAGCAUGUCAUGAUCAGUGUGCCUUAAACCAUGCUGAAACUGGUUUAAUUCCGAAGACCUGGGAUGGAGUCCAGAACUCUGCAUUUUAGGCAAGUGCUCUACCACUGGGCUACAGCCCCACCUGGAGAAAUGUUUUGUUUUGCCACUUCUUCUCUCAUAAAAGUCAUAUUUGAGAAGCAAGAGAAUAUUGGCUCAAAGCUUAUUACAAUAGCUUUUAAGAAACAGAAAGAGGAAUGGAAAAUGAGAAGAUAGGAAGAAGAGGAGAGGUCAAAUAGGCAGUGGCUGGUACAAGAUGGUCAGGUGGUCAGAGGCUUAAUUAUCUUCUACUCUGAAAUUUGACUGCCUUUAUAGUCAACAUCAAGGUUUAAGGUG
rnacentral:lncRNA from 1 species